UUUUCCCUGCCUCCGGUUGCCAGGGCAACAAGUGGAGAGGCCGGCAGCCAGGGAGACUUUAGCUGCCUUUUCAAGGCGCCCUGGACAUAAACAGCACUUUCCAUAAUGGAAGCCCAGCAUCAAGGUUUUAAAGAGCCAGACAAUACAGCUGAGGGGAAAAUCGCUGGGGAGGGGCAAGGCACCCCCACUGGUCAGUGUGAGAGACAGACAGACACAAAACAGCCGGCUCCCUGAGAGGUCUGAUCCUCUGCCUGACCCAUGGCUCCAGACCCUGCUGCCCCAGUGCCUUCUGUGAUACCAGAGAUCUCCACAGCCAUGCCUCUGCCUGGGACAUGGAGUGUCCAUCUCAGUGAGAAGCUGGAGAAGGCCCCAGGCAGCUUCAGAGAGAGACAGGUGAGGCAAAGCAAGGGUGAAUGAGUUCAGGGGACUGCAGUUAGGACUUGG